rnacentral:lncRNA from 1 species
CUUUCAGUGAUUCUAAUGGAUUGUGAGGAGCACAGGAGGGAGGAGAAUCUAAUUUUUAUUUCAUGUCUACCAUUCAUUUUCUCCUGUGCAAAAUCAAGGUUUGGGCUUGAUGGGCUAUCUUCAAUUUUUUCUCUGGUGCUAAUGAACUGAUUCCAUAAGCAAAUUAGAGAGCCCAUGUAAACAGUAUGGUGCCUGGUACAGGGUGGGUGUUCAAUGAAUGGCAACUAUCAUUAUUAUUCACCCAGCACAUUAUGUUCCUGAAAACCAGGAACUGCUUCCUGUCUGACCCACUGCAGUGGUGGAGAGGAUCAAGGGAAAUAAUGAUCAUGGAUGUGCUUAGGAGACGUAAGAUUUUACUAAGAAUUGCUGUGAGCUGGGCACCCUUCUACGCUCUGCAGACACCAUGGCUAGUAAGACAGGCAAAGACCUGCCAUCUGGAGCUUGUUUGGAUAUAGGGUAGGGGGACGGGGAGAAGGGAGAUAAACAAUAAACAAGUAAAUUUACACUCUUUUAUUGUGAAUCAUCCUUUCACUGGUCUUGUCUUAACUCCAUGAACACAGCGACAGUGUCCUAUGUGUUUUCUAUUUAUUUGUAUUCUCUGCCUACUUUCCAAUAAAUGUCUUAGAUAAGCUGCUAUAUCAAUGCAGAUUAAGUCAUACUAACUUCUUGUAGCAUCUUAAUUAAAUGGGCUCUCUGGAGUCAGACUUCUAGGUUCAAAAUCCAGCUUCAUGACUUAUUAUUUAUUUAUUUUUAAUAAAAACUAUUUUUAAUAAACAUCAUAUUUACAACAUGACGUUUUGAUAUACAUAUACAUAGUGAAAUGAUUAUUCCAGUUAAACAAAUUAAUAUAUCCAUCUCCUCAUACAGUUACCGCUAUUUUUGUGUAUGUGGUGAGAGCACUUGAAAUCUCUUCUCUUAGAAAAUUUCCAGUAUUCGGCUGGGCGCGGUGGCUCACGCCUGUAAUCCCAGCACUUUGGGAGGCUGAGGCGGGUGGAUCACCUGAGGUCAGGAGUUCGAGACCAGCCUGGCCAACGUGGUGAAACCCGGUCUCUACAAAAAAUACAAAAAUUGUCCGGGCAUGGUUAGUGGCACACGCCUGUAAUCCCAGCUACUCGGGAGGCUGAGGCAGAAUUGCUUGAGCCAGGGAGACGGAGGUUGCAGUGAGCCGAGACUGUGCCACUGUACUCCAGCCUGGCCAACAGAGAAAGACUCAGUCUCCAAAAAAAAAAAAAAAAGAAAAUUUCCGGUAUCCAAUACAAUAUUAUUAACUCUACAGUAGCCCUCCCUUAUCUGUAUUUUGGUUAUUCUGGUUUUGCUUACUGAGGUUUCAGUUACUCUUGGUCAACCAUGGUCAGAA